rnacentral:rRNA from 1 species
UACGGAGGGUGCAAGCAUUGCUCGGAAUUACUGGGCGUAAAGGGCGCGUAGGCGGCAGGCUAAGUCGGAUGUGAAAUUCCGGGGCUCAACCCCGGAGCGGCAUUUGAAACUGUCUAGCUAGAGUGCAGUUAGGGUAAACGGAAUUCCACGUGCAGCGGUGAAAUGCGUAGAUAUGUGGAAGAACACCGGUGGUGAAGACGGUUUACUGGGCUGUAACUGACGCUGAGGCGCGAGAGCAUGGGGAGCAAACAGG